CAGUCGUACUGGCGGGCAAUCAGCCUUUUGGGUGUGAUUAUGUGGGGCGUGAGGAGUUAAUAACCUCCAAUUGAAAGGGAAACGAUUGAAGUCAGUCGUACCUUCGGGUAAUCAGCCUUUCGGGUGCGAUUCUGUGGAGUGUGAUGAGCUUAACACCUUCAUGCUUUGCAUAUUUGUGCUCUUGGGUGUACUUGCCCGUGUGGUUGGUUAACAUCAAUUUUGGUUAUCAUAAAAUGAUUGGAGGAAUGUAGCUUCGAUCUCGUAUUGAAGUGUUAUAGCCUUCGGUAGAUGUGAUGAACGAGAUUGAGGAUUGCAACGGAUACCCUUCGGGGCUACCUGUCUGGUCUCUGAUCGUUGCUCUGGUGCCGAAAGCUUGCUUACGGUCAUCAAAGUCGAUGGUCAAUAGGUUAGAACGGGUUAAA
rnacentral:rRNA from 1 species